UUUUGCCUCAUACAAAAACCUCACAGAGAUUGAUUUGCUGCAACUGAGUAAUUCUUCCGAGGCUGUACUGUCAUCAUAGAUGUGAACACUUCCACUGCAGCUUUUUUUUCAUCUCAUGGAUAUGGAUUUUUUACAUUAACAGCAGAUUAAUUCAAAUAUGUCUGUUGAGAAGAUUGUAGAGAUGACAGCAUUUCUCUCUCUUCCAUAUGAGACAGCCCCUCAACAGAAGCCAUAGUUUUUGUACUGAGGUUUUUCACCGUGUUGGGAGUACCACAGUGAUACAUUCUUCAUUAGGUGCUGUACAAAAUCUCAUAUCACUGUUAUUUCUGUGUAUAAACUGUAUUGAUAAAUUUAAACCAAUAUCUGACUGAAAGACUGAACUAUCACAGACCUGUUCUCUCAGUUUUGUUGCUUUUGACUUGAAGGCUUUUCUUCCAGCCACUUGUUUGUAUGUGAAUGGCGCAGACAUGGAUAUAUCAUGAGGAUGGACCGACAUAUGGAAUUGCCUUCGAAAGAAUAUCAAACUGGAUUUCUUUGACUGGAUAUUUCACAUCAUAAGUCCAGAUGAGUCUAUAGUGUAUUUCUUAAGAUGUUAGGAUACUUUCCAUUACCAAAGGAUAUUGUCAGAGGGCUGACUGAAGUGUGCCGAGCCACUAACCUUUGGGAAUCCCAUCCGUCUCACGGUCAAACCAAAAAAUCAAUUGGCAACUCCUCCAUUACUGUCCAUUUUGUCCCCUUUGGGGGGCAAUGGACCGGAUAUUUGCCUGGCCGCCGGGUUCUUUCCUGCGGAUAAGACUAUGAUUUUGACUGUGGAAGGUAAAAGCCCGGUGAAACUUAACACCAGCGAAGCACCCUUGUUUCAUUCAACCUAUUAUUAUGCUGGAUUCAGUAAAGAUGAUGAAUCGAUGAAAUAUGAUGAAGUGCAAAAAUGUGAAAUGGAUGGACGAACAGUAGACAAAAGUGUUGACGUUCCUGAAACAACAGAAAUACCCCCAAUACCGACUCAGUUUUGUCCAACUAGUCUUGGUGCCUCAGAGUUCAUAGACACUGGUGUUCCAAAAAUGAACUCCAUGAAUCUUCUUGUGUCAGGUCUGAGAAUUCUGCUUGCUAAAUGUGUUGCAGUUAAUGCAUUGAUGACUGUCAAGGCGUUCAUAUUUUAAAGGUUCAAUUCAGACAAAUCAUCUGAAUAAUCAAAAAUUGCAACUGUAUCUUGAUCAAAUAUUCAUGCCAAACAGACAAAAGUGAUUAUAGUCAGCCACAAGGUCACUGUUUAUACACUACCAGUCAAAACUUUGGGAUCAGAACGAUUUUUUAUGUUUUUUUACAGGAGUUUCUCAUGCUCAUCAAGGCUGCAUUUAUUUGAUCAAAAAAUAAAUAAUAUUGUGAAAUAUUAUUAUGAUGUAAAAUAACAUUUUUUCUCUAUUUUAAUAUACAUUAAAAUAAUUUAUUGCUGUGAAGCAAAGCUGAAGUUUCAGCAUCAUAUCUUCAGUCUUCAGUGUCACACGAUCCUUCAGAAAUCAUUCUAAUAAUUUGCUGAUUUAUUAUCAGUGCUGGAAACUGAUAUGCUGCUUAACAUUUUUUUUUGGAACCUGUGAUACUUUUUUACAGGAUUCUUUGAUGAAUAAAACGUUUAAAAAGAAGAGCAUUUAUUUAAAAUAUAAAUCUUUUAUAACAAUAUACACUACACUCAAUUUUGGGAAAAGUAAAUUUUUGUUUGUUCUUUUCUGAAAAAAAUUUAAACUUUUAUUCAACAAUGAUUUAUUAAAUUGUUAGGAAAUGAUAGCAAAGAUUUAUAUUAUUAGAAGAGAUUUAUAUUUUGAAAUAAAUGCUGUUCUAUUAAAUUUUUUAUUCAUCAAAGAAUCCUGAAAAAAGUAUAGCAGUUUCCCCAAAAAGUGUUUGGCAACACAACUGUUGCUAACAUUGAUAAUUCUAAUAAUAAAUCAGCACAUUAGAAUAAUUUCUUAAGGAUCAUGAGACACUUUAUACUGGAGUAAUGGGCGAUGGAAAUUCAGCUAUGCAUAACAGAAAUAAAUUAGAAAUGAAAAUAGAAAACAUUAUUUUACAUUGUAAUAACAUUUUUUGGGGGCUAAUUUUGUUUAAAUAAAUGCAGCAAUGAUGAAAAAAACAAGUCUUACUGUUCCCAAACUUUUGAACGGCAGUGUUUAUUUUAACUAAUAAUGUUACAUGGAAUGAAAAAUAUAAAUUGUUGACAAUGUAUUUCAAAUUUUAAAGAAUAUCGAUAAAACUUUAUUGUUAACUUUUAGAAACAUUUUUGAAUUCUUUGGUAUAAUGUUCGUAUUGCUCUGCUAUAGUGUGUGUAUUUUCAGCUUUAUUUGCAGAUAAGUGCAGGUUAAUUUUGUAAUACUUUUUAAAGAUUUUUUUUUUUUUUUUUUUUUUUUUGUUAACAAUACAGUAGUGCAUUGUUUAAGACUGUUACAUUGUCUAAUUGUGUAACUGCUAACUAUUUGACUUAACUAUUGAGACUCUGAUCUUUGCAUGUACUAUUAUUUUUCACAAAUAUGCAAAAUAAUAAAAUGUCUUGAUAAAAGAGAAGUUUCAUGUGAGUAUGUCUAAACCACAGUUUUAACAGCAUAUUUGCACUGGAGGCAGAGUCUAACCACAGCAUCAGAUACAGAUCAACUGCUCGCUUUGGGUUCCAAGAAUUACUGUGUUUUGUCGCUGCGUUUUUUUCACCUCAGAAAGUCUUAGAGAGAGAAAGUCUUACAGCUACCGUUUUGGUGGUCAUUUUAUUAUUUAACUUUUAUAUAAAAGUUUUAUUCUACAAAAUAGUUUGUCAAACCACUGUUUUGAUAAUGACAUUUAUGAAAAAUAAGUUACUAAGUGUAUUGAGAGCACAUUUUUCUUUAGAUGCAUUUAUAAAUCACUUAAUUUAUUAUUUAUUUAUUAAUGAAUAUUUAGUGAGAUGUUUUCACUCUCUUUCAAUAAAAUGGUGAGCUGAGCUUGCUACUCAUCUAAGAUUAUGAAAUUAAGUGUAACUGCCCUCUUGUAGCUUUAGCGUUUGUUUUAACCUAACAGGCGGACUUGAGUGACCUCUAGUGGCCGAAUGAGCCUACGCAUCCAGUGUGAUUCCGCUUAUUCCAUGUUUUUUGACUGUGUGUGAACAUGCAAGAUAGAAUUGGGGUAGGAGCAGGCAGAUCUAGGGCCCAGACAGUUUUAAGCCCCUGUUAUUCCUCAAGCAUCCAGCAGGGGGCGCCUGUAGGCUACAGUAUGAGCUAUUCAGAACAGACAAAGUCAAGAAGAGACACUAGAGGUUAUAUAAAUUAGAGGUAUGUUGAGAAGUUAUUAUUGUUCAGCAGUCAAGAAACGUUGCAACAUUUAUGGUUUCAUGAUUAGCUAAGCGUCUAUGUCAAUUAAAAUUAUUAUGUUAAUAGGUUUAUAAAUAUAUUUAUUGACAGUGAGGUAGAUGUAAGUAGUAACAUUUGCAUGUAACGUUGUUUUCUUUGUUUAAAGAGCUUAGACUUUUGUGUGUGUGCAAGAUAUUUUGAUUGUUUCUCUUGCAGAUUGGAAAUGCCUGCAUGAAACUCGUCUGUGAAGAGGUUUGAGCACAUAUAAAUCUUUUUCAUAUUAUUUUAUAUCAGCUGUAGUUAAUUGAGACCUCUUUAGAGAGUUUCAUCAUGUCAUAUUUGAAUGGUAAGUGGUAGUCUGGUAAUAGUUUUUUCCCUUUACUCUCACAGGAAAAAGACAUAUACCCUGCCAACAUGCAUGUUAUUGCCACAAUCCUCUAGCCUACUCUCCAGAAUGCAUAAAUCAUACUAUUUGUUAUCUACCAUAACUCAGAAGUAAAAUAAAAUGUAUUCUUUAUUGGUGUUAUGUUUUUUCAUUUAAUUAUUUAUCUAUUUUUAUAGGAUAAUUUUUUCUUCAAAGUCCCUUUAAGGGUAUUCUAUUGUCUUUGCUUUCAUGAAGGAUGCAUGAACACAAGCUCAAACUAAUCAUUUUUCGUUAUGUGUAAGGCUUUACAUGGUAUAGCUCAUAAGAAUAUAGUAAUUAUUUAACCUUGUGUUUUUUGUUAUUUUAUGCUGGUUUUAUAGAGGGUGAUUUUACCCCAAUAUCAUAAGGCAAAGAUAAUACAAAUGUGAAAUGGAUUGUCAUAACACUUUUUUACACUCCUUGGCCAUAACCAUUGUUUAUUCAUCCUUAUACUGUAGGUACAGAAGCUAAGAGAUUCUUGAUAAACUACAUUUAAACAAUUUAAAUGAAACUAAAACAUUGUAAUGAUCUAAUUAUGAUUCUGCCUGUUUAUUGUCAGUAAAGAGUUGUCGUAUUUGGGGUGGUUUCAUCAAAUAAAAAUGUUUUCCUUCUUUUCGAAAGGUAAGGCAGCAGCCAAAAGAAUUCAAAGUGGCUUUACACUUUUUCCACUGAAGAUCAGGAGCAGACAGAUCCGAUCCACUCUCACCUGACUUCAGUUCUGGACAGCACACCCACAGUGACCUGAUCAAAUUCAUCAUGGAUGUCAUUUUUUCCAGAGAGUCCUUUAUCUGUGCCCUGGCUUUUGUGAAAAAUCUGUCCAUCCUGGAGGCUGAGGAGAACAACUUACAAAAGAGAAAGUAGAAGAUCCUGUCUAUUACAAAUUUGACAAUUCGUGUUUGGCGACCGACUUCACAAACUAUACUGCUGUGAAAUUCGUAAACGCUACACCAGUGCGAUAUGCAGAACGGAGUUACUACAGCAGCUUCACC